AUUGAACGCUGGCGGCAGGCCUAACACAUGCAAGUCGAGCGGAUGAAGGGAGCUUUCUCCUGGAUUCAGCGGCGGACGGGUGAGUAAUGCCUAGGAAUCUGCCUGGUAGUGGGGGAUAACGUCCGGAAACGGGCGCUAAUACCGCCUACGUCCUGUGGGAGAAAGUGUGGGUCCUUAGUACCUGACGGUUUUGGUUGAGCUUAGGUCGGAUUAGCUGGUGGGUGAGGUAAAGGCUUACCAAGGCGACGAUCCGUACCUGGUCUGAGAGGAUGAUCAGUCACACUGGAACUGAGACACGGUCCAGACUCCUACGGGAGGCAGCAGUGGGGAAUAUUGGACAAUGGGCGAAAGCCUGAUCCAGCCAUGCCGCGUGUGUGAAGAAGGUCUUCGGAUUGUAAAGCACUUUAAGUUGGGAGGAAGGGCAGUAAGUUAAUACCUUGCUGUUUUGACGUUACCAACAGAAUAAGCACCGGCUAACUUCGUG
rnacentral:rRNA from 1 species